rnacentral:rRNA from 1 species
UACGUAGGGUCCAGGCGUUAUCCGGAAUCACUGGGCGUAAAGCGUGCGUAGGUGGCGUGUUAAGUGUGAUGUUAAAUCGUGGGGCUCAACCCUGUCGGUGCAUCACAUACUGGCAUGCUAGAGGACAGCAGAGGCAAGUGGAAUUUGUAGUGUAGCAGUGAAAUGCGUAGAUAUUACAAGGAACACCAAUGGCGAAGGCAGCUUGCUGGGCUACUCCUGACACUGAGGUACGAAAGCGUGGGGAGCGAACAGG